GAGGGCCCGGCCUGUGCGCCGCAGCCCCUGCGUGCGCCGCCCCCCGCACCUUGACCUGGGGCCUGGGCGCACUCAGAGCGGAGGCUAUUUUUAGCAUUAACCUUCUUCUAAGAGUGUUUCACCUUUUACUGAUUCUAAGUAGAAAAAAAAACCUCCGGUAAUCUGAAUUAUUUCUACCAGCCACCACAUUCUAAAUGAGAGUAGUGAGGACGGGCUCGUGGGCGGGGCACACUGGUGGUCAUCUUAUUUGGGUAUCUAAUAGCAGAUGAGGAAACCGGCACAGGGAAAGGAGCCAGCGGGGGCCGUGCUCUCAGGCGCUGGCCUCUGCAAGCUGCAGCUCCGGUUCUGCCCGCGCCUCAGUUUGGGUCUUUACUAAGGAACAGAGCCCAGCUCUAGGGGGGGUGCCAGGCGUUAUCCCGCCCAGCAUCCCCGAAUUCUGCUUUGAUCUUCUCUCGGUGUGCUCUCUGCAUUCUGCCCUUUUUGCUUAAGGGGCUGCUCCGGGGUCCCGGGUUCAGUUCCUGUCCGUGGGUGGAGGCCACGGGGAGGGGUAGGUGAAGACAAAGGGGCCCGAGACAUCCAGAGGCCGCCGUGCCGGACGGGGGACGCCAGCUCUGCUGACAGGAUUGCACCCCUUGCCGGGCCAGCACAGGCCGCUGCGCCCUGAGAUGGCCCGUCCCUCCCUACCCCUUUCCUUCUUGGUGAACUGACAGUGCCGCCCCCCGCCCCAGGCCACCCCAUGGGGCUGGCGGAAGGCCCAGUGGGACGUGGGCGAGAAGUGCAUCUGCUAACAGCCCCGUCGGGAGGCUCGCUCCUCUCUGCGGAUGCCGGCUGUUAAGACGCGGCGCUGUCUUGCGUGGCUGGGAGCUGUGUGCCCGCAGGGCCCCACAGUCUCCUGGAGUCUGGGCGGUGAGGCCGCGGCGCUGCGGUCACUUGCAGGGACCUGCGGCUCCUCUGCAGAUGGCCCGGUCGCCAGGGCUGACGACUGCUGUGUUGCAGAAGACCCGCUACGAGACCUACACGCAGCUGCUGGUGGCGCGUCUGCACUGCCCCUCGGACGACCUGGACCUGUGGGAGGAGCAGCUGGGGCAGGAGGCUGGCGGUGCCCGGGAGCCCCGGCCCAGCCUGAAGAAGUCCCACUCGAGCCCCUCCCUGCACCAGGACGAGGCCCCCACCACCGCCAAGGUGAAGCGCAACAUCUCAGAGCGCAGAACCUACCGGAAGAUCAUCCCCAGGCGCAGCCGCAAUCAGCUGUGACGCGGUGCUGCAGCUCUGGCCCAGGUGACCUGGCCCAGCAGCCAGUCCCUGCAGUCAGCUUGCCUGGAGGAGCUCUGGAGCCCCCGCCGCAUGACCUGGGCUGGUUGCGCAACCUCUUGUGCUUGGUUUGUAAAAUGUGAGUAAUGACACCACUGCCUCACAGGUCCCUUGGGAGGACAAGUGAACUUUUGCACACACACAUCUCGGAACAAUGCCUGGUGGGGCACGGGGCCUGUCUGACCUCACAAGGCCCCUGCACCCCCUGGUCCCAGCGUCCAUUUGCCCUCAAACAGCAGGCUCUGCCCUGAGGCUGGCCUUCUGCCUGGAAGUUGCAAGGAGCAAAUCUUAGCUCAAAAGUGCUUUAGCGGUAAAGGAAGUUAGCUCCAGUAACGGGACAAGCCAUGUCCAGGCCAGUGCGGCUCCAUCGAGGACUCCACACUGCCAGCACCGUCUCUCCCUCGCCUGCCAGUGCUAAGACGCCCCAGAGCUCUCCAGGGGCCUUGGCAUGUGCCCCCCGAACGCCAGGGCUCAUGGUGGUCAGGGACCCCUUUGGAGUGGGAGUGGAGUCAACGCCCAGAGGCCAGGGGUGGGACCCGGUGCUGCGAAGUCUGCUGUUAGGACGUGGAGGGCGACGGACGGUGGGAAGCCCCUGCCAGGAGCAGGGACCUUCUCCAAGAGGCCUCCCCCACCGUACUUUCUACCUUCAAAACCUGUAACUUCCUGAAUUUUACUUCCAUUUUUGUCUUUCUGUUUUUGUUUGUCUGCUCCCGGUAGAAUGCAGCCUGCACGAGACCCAGGCCUGUUGUGUAGGGCCUGAUAGCUGGGCUUGAAAGAACCCAAGUCUCGGAACUUUACCUUCUCUGUGCCACCGGCACCCACGUUCUCCUGGUUCUUCUACUUUGUUUUUCUGUGUUUUCUGCUUCCUCUACUCGGCCUUCCGGCCCUAAACUCAGCCUUUCCAGGGAUCUUAUCUUGCCGAGUGCAGGGCCUUCAGGAAGUUUCUGGGAACAGUCUCCAGGUCUAGAUCUUCUGCCUGACUGUUCCAGAUUUCAGACCUGAAGUACCAGCUGUCACCGGGACUUGGCCCCUCAGCAAAUCUUCCUGUAGAGACAGAACUUAUCGUCCCUAAGACAGAGCCUCGAGUCAUCACCCCGACUCACCCCUCCUGUUCUGUGAAUGUUUGCACACUGCUUUGGACGACAAACACCGGCACAAGAAAAGGGGUGUGAGCUCGGGGGGCUUUGGCCUCGUCUUGGGCAUCGGGGCAGAUGCCACUGGUUUUCCGGCCCCUUGGCACGGGCAGGGAGGAGACGUGUGGACAGAGGAGACACGGCAUCAUCGCCUGCACCCUCCUCCACCACCCGACCAGGUCCCCGCUGCCAGCGGCCUGUCCUGCCAAGACUCUGGUCAAGCCUGCCAGCGAGAGCCAGGGGGACGCCUGAGCCGAUGGCGAGCUCCGCUUCCACCAGCCCAAGCCCUUCUGCCCGCGUCCUGCCUGCACCCUUGCCUCCUUUCUGCAGUCCAGGCUUUAUUUUUAAUUUAUACUUUACUAAUUUAUGGCCUGUGUUUCCUGUGAGUGGUCUCAAAUCCUCUCUGGAACAAGCUAGGGAAUACAUUACUAUUUAAAAUAAAAUAAACAAAAUGGCAGUGUAUGUGUCUUAGGUUGGACAUUCCUUAAG
rnacentral:lncRNA from 1 species